CAUUAAAUUGGGUCACUCUCUUGACGUAUUCCAAAUAAAGCAUGAUUUGGAAUUUCCCGUGUUGAGUGGCAUAAAUUAUUUG